rnacentral:lncRNA from 1 species
UGUGCAUUUGUACAAAAAUUGUUUCAUCUCUUUAAAAAUCCCUUGUGGUUUGGAUAUGAAUAAGUGGCACUUUUUUCUGAGGGUAUGAUAAAAUUGUGAAUGGAAAUGGUGAAUGUGUCAAAACACACGCCUUGACCAAAGAGUAAAAACAACAGAAGGCCACCAAUGGGUCUUCAACAAAGUGAGAAAAAAAUCAAGCACCUGAAGGCGUGUUUCAGCUGGCCCCUUAACAAAA